GCGGUUGUGAUGGAAUUGGCAGACAUGUAAGAUUUAGGUUCUUAUGCCGAGAGGCGUGUGGGUUCGAGUCCCACCAACCGCA
rnacentral:tRNA from 1 species